rnacentral:ribozyme from 1 species
CUUCUGUCCCCAUCACUAUGUUCUGCAUCUGCUUUCAAUGCAAAACAGGCGUCUGCCACUGUGGUGGGAGAGGAAGAGACCAGGGAAACAUGCUGUAGUCUAGUCUGGGUUUACGGGUAUGUAGCCAUUACAGCCAUAGACCUAACCAGAUUUCGGUAGCACAUUAACUGGC